UAUCCCUUUUCUGGUCUCAUUUAACUUAUGUCCCUUUUUGUUCAGAUCCUGAGCUUUGAUUUCUUCAACCUUUUUUUUUGGUGCCUGGUGCUGAGAGAGAUGGAAGCAAGAGGACUGGUCCAUUAGACUGAUGAGACUGGAGUUGCUCAGAACUCUCUGAGUAUCAGGGUAGUGUACCUUGGCAGGAGGGUCACAGCCUGUGGUUUUCCUUCCCUCCUCCCUUGUUACAGCAAAACAGGCAGGGCAGUGACCUUGUGCUGCAUGAGCAGGAGGCAGCCCAGUGGCCACAGCCAGCAGGGCAGUGGUUUGCCAGGCAAGUUGCAGGGAUGAGGCAGGGCUGAGGUCAAGCCAGGAUGCCAGGUCAGUCAGAUUGGGUUCCGGAUCUGCAGGAAUGUGGCCAGGAACGGGUGCAGCUCCAGCAAGAGUCUCAGCACCUGGUCCCAGGCCAGACAGCUUGGGUCAGAGCUGGCUUGAGCACAGACAGAUCUGAAUGGAGAACUGUGCUCAGAGUAUCUUAUUAAGAGCCCUUAUACAUCACCCUGCAGAGUUCAGCUUCAGGUGUUCACCUGUAUUUACAUUUCUCUCCUACCUUCCUGCAUAGAAAUAAAGGCUGUGCAGGCCAGCAGAUGGUUUGUUAAUAUGUCACCCUUUUAAGUGCCUAAUUUCAGCCCAGGACCACCAUUGGUGAGCAGGUGUCUGCACAUCUUCGUUCUAAUUUGAAGAUGUUAAUAAGCCUGACAUUAGCAUUUAAGACACUUCUCUUUAAACUGCUUUAUGGGGGGUGGGAGGUUGCCUCUUGAUAUUACUGUUGAAGCAGUUUUCUUCUGUAGGAGUAAGAUGCAAACAUAAAUGCAUCUCCUGCAAUAAACUGAGAACAGCCAUGACCGAGCAGUUCUGUAAUUGUAUAAUGCUGGCCUCAAAUCAGGCAGCUUGUGAAUUUGAAUUGCAGUUGUCUUUAACAGUCUAAAGACAAUAGAAAGCAGAAAACUGUACUGGUAAGCUUUUAAACGUUUAGAUCAAAGUAUGAACCUGUGGUGCUGUUGCCUGAGCUUUGGAAAGCAACAGGUUGAACUGAGAACUGCUGGUAGAAGUCAUUUAGAACUUGUGGUAGAACACUUGUGCUCAGUAUAAACAGCAGUAACACAGGCGAAGGGACAAGAGAAAAAUCUUAGCCUUACAUACUUUUUAUCCCUUUUCAAUUUUAUUAGCAUACAAUAACUUUUUUAAGCAUUUCUGCACUAGCAGUCUAAUGUGUACCAAUGAAUCAGAAUUAAAUGACUUUACAAAGCCUGUUAGCCUUUUCUUGCUGUUUGCAACAAGAAUUAUGCAACAUUUGUCAUGCAUUGCUUGUGGACAAGUAAAGGCUGAUGUUAAAGCCCUUUCAAGGUUCAUUAGCAUGUGACAAGGACAGCAUGUUUCUUCUAACCAUAUUUAGUGCCAUAAACAGUUUAUAAAUAAUAAAUAAAUGGUACCUGUUUAUUUUUCUGCUCUAAGGUAACUCACAGACACGUGAGCUAUUGGCACAUUGUUAGUUAAUUUCUUGACCAGGCUGUGAUUUUAACUGUCAUUGGCAUCUUGUACUAGAGACGAGUGAUUAAUUUAUUUUGGUUUUAAAUAUAAAAUCAUAGCUCUUAUGCCUGUUACAAACUGUCUGAGGGUGUCCUUCACUACUAUAGCAAGUUACAGAUAUGUUCUACAGUUAAAUUAAGAUGCAUUUAAGUAGCAGAGGGACAUAUCUUAAUACUAAGGGAAUGACAAAUAUUUAAUCCUAGACCAGUGGCAAUUGAAUUGAACUCUCUAGUGCAUUACUAACCAGACAGCCCUAUCCUUGCAUAGUUCUUACAGUAUUAAAAAAAAAAAGUGGUGUUUUCUUCAGGUGCAAUUUUCCUAACAAAUUAUUUGACUUUUUGGUACAACUGUUUUAAAUUGCUUUCCAGGAAGUUAACCCAUAUAUUAUGGCACAUUGGGUCAACAACAGGAGUUUAAGUUAAAAUAUCCAUUUAUAAAAGCCAUACAAAUAAUUUUUAUUUUUUUUUACAAUGCUUGAAGUCAUCAUUAACAACUUUACAUCUUCAAAGAUCAUGCUCAGUUUGUACUUUAAAAUGACAAGUUUAAUGUUACUAUAAAAUCUAAAGCAUUUAUUCUAAAUGCUGUUGUUAGCAGAAGUAGCUCAGCUCAACAUCCUAAUAACCACUUAUUGCAAACAGACAUUGCAAAGUCCUUUGAGCAAUAUUAUUAUAAAAGUUAGCAUAAAAGCUGGGGAAAGUACUGAAUAAAUAUAUAAACAGUGACAUAGUGAAUUAUUCAAGUUUUGUCUGUGUUUUCAGGUACCUAAGUUGGCCUUUAAUAUCUAAAAUAGAAAGCAAUAUCUUUGAAUAACAGACCAAUAUUCUUCCUCAUGUAGCCUAUUCAAACUCUGUAGUUUAGUCUGAUCACCCAAUAAAGACAUGUAGGAACAAGAGUGUGAGUAAAUUUAGUGAUAAUUUAGGCAUUUUUGGCUAACUCAUCCUUAAAAUGAAUGACAGACUGCAGUGAUUUAGGCUCUUUAAAAGGUCACUGUGACACUCCCUUGACAGGAAAGAGAUAAAUCUCUGCAGAUCUUUGACCAAAAAUGGCAAUAAGUUAAAACAUCAGAAUCUGAUUGUUGGGCUUCAGAGCCUGGUAAGUAGUAUUCAGUACUUGUUUAGCGAUUUUCCAAUAUUGCUGUAUCAUUCUACAGCCCUCUAUUGGCCAGAUUUCUAGGCCUUCCUUGUAUAGUAUUGAUCAGUGGAUUGUCUGGAUCCGACCACAAGGGUUUCAGUUCUCAUUGUUACAUGAAUAUUUGCACCUUACAGACCCUGAGUAACUCUUAGUUACAAGUGAGUUCUGCAGUCCUUGCAGGAGACUGAUGUUCUUCACAAAGCCAGAUCUGUGCUUUCACUCUCAUCUCCCUGCUAAGGAACCAGCCUGACACCUGGAAGCCUGGUGCUGCUCUGCUUCAGCCCUUCUUCGUGCUGCUUGUGUGCUUCAGGCACAUCCCAGCAGCAGAUGUUGCACUGGAUGAACAACCCUAACCCUAGUUGUUCCAAAGAGUGCAAGAACAGGAGAUCUAUCUACAGAAAACAUCAGUGCAAUGCUAGGCUUCUUCGAACAUGAUGUUCCAAAAUCAGGGUCGUCCAAGUCAUCCCAGCUAUCCACAGCCUUUACCAAAGUCUGACCCCACCGUCUUCUGCAGUUUUUAGGACCUGGUACACCAUUCAGAGGGCCACUAGCUGCUUGUUUCUAUUUUAAAUAAAAAAAAAAAUAAAUUAAAAUAAUAAUAAUAAAAAAGCACUUUAAUUCAAUUCUAAAA